UCUGGUCAUCGUCCGUUCUGUAUUCAGUCUCUCACUUAAAGAUAAAAAUCAUUCUUUCAUUUUGUUUCAAAUAUAAAAUCAUUUUCAGAUCUAAAUAUUUAAUUCAUUAGAAAACUUAUGUUUUGCAUACCAGGACAAAGGGACAAUUUCACUUUGACGGUAACAUUUUUUCCUAAAAGUGCAAUAUUCUACUCUUUGUACAAUAUUAAAGUUCACAGUCAUAGCAUUUCAUUUAUACGUCUACGUUCUUUCAAUGGAAUUUAAGAGCAAAGUUAGACUCCUCCCCCAGACUGCCCAACCCAUAAAAAAAAAAAAAGCCUCUGAGGUUUUGUUUUGUUUUGGUGGCGCCAGGCAGCGUGUGGGAUCUUAGUUUUCCCACCGCGGACAGAACCCGUGCCCCCUGCAGUGGAAGCGCGGAGUGCUGACCACUGGACUGCCAGGUAGGUCCCCACCUCUGUGGUUUUUACUAAAAUUAUUUCUUUGACCAACUUCUCAAGAAGAGGAAAGGGACAAAAGGGCCCAGAGAGGUUAAGAGGCACCUGCCCGAGGGAGGCGGUGGGCGGCUAGCAGACGCCGGCUGGUGGGCGGGGUGCGGGGGCGGAGCUCGGGUGACGCGACGCUCACGUGACCGCUGGGCCCAGAAGUGGGCACCGGUCCGGGUAGUGGCCCUCCCUCGGUGUUGUCGGACCCGGAGCCGUCUGCGAGCCCCUAGUUGUUGCUCCUGGUUCUUNCAGGUCUACGUGUCUGUUGUUCCCAGCGCUCUACUGCGCUAUAGAAAGAGGAGGAACCUGUCCAGAAUCCCCGCAGGACAGGAAAAGGAGGGGACGCUCAACAUGGAAAAACUCUGCAGUGAAAAUGAAGUGAAGCCUGAGAACCAGGGCAAGAUGGAAAACAAAGAACAGCCACUGGAUGCAGGAAAACCAGGAGCAGCUUGUACUAGGGAAGAUGAGGAAAACUUAGAAAACCAGGGAAGGACAGAUCCCAAGGGAAAAACAGAUGAGGAAGUAUUAACAGUUACGGAAAGGC
rnacentral:lncRNA from 1 species